AAAGAAACCAACCGGGAUUGCCUCAGUAACGGCGAGUGAAGCGGCAAGAGCUCAAAUUUGAAAGCUGGCCCCUCCGGGGUCCGCGUUGUAAUUUGCAGAGGAUGCUUCGGGUGCGGCCCCUGUCUAAGUGCCCUGGAACGGGCCGUCAGAGAGGGUGAGAAUCCCGUCUUGGGCAGGGUGCCCGUGCCCGUGUGAAGCUCCUUCGACGAGUCGAGUUGUUUGGGAAUGCAGCUCUAAAUGGGUGGUAAAUUUCAUCUAAAGCUAAAUACCGGCCGGAGACCGAUAGCGCACAAGUAGAGUGAUCGAAAGAUGAAAAGCACUUUGAAAAGAGAGUUAAACAGCACGUGAAAUUGUUGAAAGGGAAGCGCUUGCGACCAGACUCGGCCCCGGGGUUCAGCCAGCACUCGUGCUGGUGUACUUCCCCGGGGGCGGGCCAGCGUCGGUUUGGGCGGCCGGUCAAAGGCCCCAGGAAUGUAUCGCCCUCCGGGGUUGUCUUAUAGCCUGGGGUGCAAUGCGGCCAGCCCGGACCGAGGAACGCGCUUCGGCACGGACGCUGGCGUAAUGGUCGCAAACGAC
rnacentral:rRNA from 1 species